AACGAACGCUGGCGGCUUGCCUAACACAUGCAAGUCGAACGAGACCUUCGGGUCUAGUGGCGCACGGGUACGUAACGCGUGGGAACCUGCCCUUAGGUUCGGAAUAACUCCCCGAGAGGGGUGCUAAUAACAGAUAGUGUCUUCGGGCCAAAGAUUUUUCGCCUUGGGAUGGGCGCGCGUUGGAUUAGCUGGUUGGUAGGGUAAAAGCCUACCAAGGGGACGAUGCAGAGCUGGUCUGGUAGGAGGAUCCGCCACACUUGGACUGAGACACGGCCCACAAUCCUACGGGAGGGUGGAGUGGGGAACAUUGGACAAGGGGCGAAAGCGUGACCCAGCAACGCCGCGUAAGUGAUGCAGGGCGUAGUGAUGUAAAGCCCUCUUACCCGGGAUGAUAAUGACAGUACCGGGAGAAUAAGCACCGGCUAACUACGUG
rnacentral:rRNA from 1 species